AAUAAUAAUAAUAAUAAAAUAAAUGAAAAUAAAAAAUUCCCCUCAAUCGGUAACAGGUCUCUUUCUAACGAGUGAGAUAAAAGAUAAAAAUUACAAAUGAAGGACUUCAAUUUGAAGCUGUUCUUCACAACUCUCAACCAAAAAAUGGGGAAGAUGGGCCUUGAUCAUAAUUAGUCUGUACUGUAAGAUCCUGUAUGCCCAAAUCAUGAUACAGACCAUGCAAAAAUUGUAAUGUUGGUCUAUCAUCCAUCCCCUCCUUCACCUGAACUGAAAGUGAACCAACAACGUGACCAGGCACCAAUUCCCAAAAACGAGCUUGAGACACUUCACUAACAUCUUCACGAGCAGUAACCUGUCUUAGGCAUUUGCUCAAUGCAGAAGAAUGAAUGCUAGGUGGCGCCAUUUGAAGUAGGAUGCCAGCAGUAGAUUUAAAGAGUGGCAUGAUAAGCAUAAAAACUGCAACCGAGACUAGUCCCAAACACAAGACUUCAGCAUUGUCAACCCCGAGGGACAAAAACCAGGAUGCCAAUAUCAAACCUGCACUGACAUUUCAUCAAAAUUCAGCAAUAGUAACUUUAUUGAAACAAACAUUAAGAUUGAUUACUUUGCUGAUACAAAUACAGCGACCAUGUUGAAAUUGAUGACAAGUUCAAUGACUUCAGGUGAAAUCAAUCUGAAAAACAAAAAUGCAUGCACAAAAGAAAGUCUGCAUGUCAGUAUAGAAAUAGAGAGAGUGAUAGAGAGCAAACCUACGAAUGGAAUCAGCAAGGACAUGCAAGCAAACUGAGUGGUAAUUCAUAUCUUCUGCUUUUCUGUAAACAAGGUUAAUGCGGGCAUAGUUCCUAAAGAACCAAACACCAAUAAGAUUUACGAAUAAAUUUGUCACCGCAGAAACAAUCAAAUAAUGCUUGUGCUCAGAUUCAUCUUGUAUGAAUGCAUGGAGUGCCUCCACUGCUAUGGAAAAUGACAUGAACAAAAGAAACAGAGCAUUAGUGAAAGCAGCCAAAACUUCAAGCCUUUUGUACCCGUAAGUGUAUACACGAUCAGGCUUUCCCCGAGAAGCAGCCAUGGCGAAUAAAGAAAACGUUAAGAGACCACAACCAAAUGUCAGAUGAAAUGCAUCAGAUACCAACCCAACACGCCCCGUGAACAGCCCAAUUCCCAAUUCCGCAGUAGAAUAUGCAACAUUGAGCGAAAUCAUCACCAAAAGCCUCUUCAUAUGCCUAUUCCCGGACCUUACCACCCUAAAUAUCGAUAUCAGGGAACACAAAACUGAUAAUGUGUUCUUCUCUUUCAUGGAGUCUUUUGCCUCCUCAUAAAUGCUUUCGCUUUCGUAGUCGUCGGAGUAAAUCUCCGGUGGAACAUCUAUGCUCGAAACAGCGCGCGAAAGCAGAGGUCUUGUCGUAUCAUUCGAUAUAAUAGAAAUCGGAGUGUGCGGCUCAACUGAUUGAUGAUGAAAUGAAGACUGCCGCCAAUAAGUGUACCUACGAUCGCUUGCACCGAAUCCGAAAUCUCCAGUCCAUGGAUGCUGCGAAUUCGUUUCUUGCGUUUGACACUUAAAUGAAUUGCUCUUCUCCAUUAGUGAAAACAAAGAAAUCAGAACUGAAGUCGUAGAUCCCGAAUUAAGAUUUAAAACCCUAAAUUUGAAGGCGGAAUUGAAAUCAAGCGCAAGAAUUGCAAUGAUCAGACAGGACUCAUAGUCUGAUACAAAUUCCAGGGAAAGCGUCAAGAAAUGAAAUUUUAGAGAGAAGAGAUUACAGGGAAUACGAUUCUGUUGAGAAAAUGAAGUGAAAGCGAAGGAAUCGGAGGAGUAAAAUGGAUCGAAAAACCCUCCGGUGAAAGAGAAGACUGAAAAGUCCAAGUAAACGAUCAAGACUUGGUUAUAUCUGUGAGAAAAUGUUAACCGAAUCGAACGGUGGUGAUUCCACUUUCCUGGAAAAUAUCGGCGUCAGUGGGACCACCGCGUUUGACACAUGAUCGACGGCGCACAACGCAAAAAAGAU
rnacentral:misc_RNA from 1 species